UUUAAUUUAUGUCGUCAUACCGUGGUUACCUGCAUACUCUUGGUUGUUAUCAACUUGUUGGUGAUCUUCAUACCCUCCAUGAAGGAUAUUUUUGGAGUCGUAGGAGUUACAUCUGCUAACAUGCUUAUUUUCAUUCUUCCUUCAUCUCUUUAUUUAAAAAUCACAGACCAGGAUGGAGAUAAAGGAACUCAAAGAAUUUGGGUAUGUCUCUUGCCAGCCACUCUAACUUUUCUGAUUAGUUUUCCAUUUAAAUUUACAAAAUAAAUAGUCCACCUCUCUAUCAAGACUACUUUCAGUUGCCUUGAAAGGAGGCAGAAGCCCUGUAGCUUUGCUACUUGGGAGAUAUUUAAAAUAUCAUAUCAGAAUCUUCUCCCAUCCCUCCAAAUAUCUUUUCUGGUUUUACUCUUUUUUUUUGAGAUGGAGUCUCACUCUGUCGCCCAGGCUGGAGUGCAGUGGCCAGAUCUCAGCUCACUGUAAGCUCCGCCUCCCGGGUUCAUGCCAUUCUUCUGCCUCAGAGAGUAGCUGGGACUACAGGCGCCCGCC
rnacentral:lncRNA from 10 species